UACAGAGGUCUCAAACGUUGUUCGGAUUCAUUGGGCGUAAAGGGUGCGUAGGUGGCGCCAUAAGUCGGGUGUGAAAUCUCGGGGCUUAACUCCGAAACUGCAUUCGAUACUGCCGUGCUUGAGGACUGGAGAGGAGACUGGAAUUUACGGUGUAGCGGUGAAAUGCGUAGAUAUCGUAAGGAAGACCAGUGGCGAAGGCGGGUCUCUGGACAGUUCCUGACGCUGAGGCACGAAGGCCAGGGGAGCAAACGGG
rnacentral:rRNA from 1 species